rnacentral:rRNA from 1 species
CGAAGGGAGAAAUUCAUUCGCGUUUCGAAGUCGUAGGCGACGGUCGACGCGACGGGGUCCGUCCGCGUUCCCCGCGCUCUUCCGUCGCAUUCGAUCGGCUACGAACGCGUGCACUUUUCUCCUGGUAGGACGUCGCGAUCCGUUGGGCGUCGGUCUACGAUACGAGAGGGAGCCCGCCGGUCCUUAGCGGACCGGCGGACCUCACGACAUCCGGCCGACUCGCUCGACGGUAUACCGAAUGGUUCGAGGCCGCUCGUUUUGGGAGCGUCCGACCGGCGGCAAGCGCGCCCGAUGCGUCGGCGACCGGACCUAGCGCCGGUUCCGACCUCGGGUGACUGUUGGCCGUCGAGUUCUCGGACAGACCUCGCGACCGAUCGGCGACGCUAUAGCUUUGGAUACUUUCAGGACCCGUCUUGAAACACGGACCAAGGAGUCUAGCAUGUGCGCGAGUCAUUGGGAAUCACUAAACCUAAAGGCGCAAUGAAAGUGAAGGUCUCCCUAGCGGAGACCGAGGGAAGACGGGCGGUUCGGCCUCAAAACCGGCCGCCUCGCAUUCCCGGGGCGUCUCGUUCUCAUCGCGAGAAGAGGCGCACCAAGAGCGUACACGCUGGGACCCGAAAGAUGGUGAACUAU